rnacentral:rRNA from 2 species
CCUGGUGGCAAUAGCGAGUGGGAACCACCCGAUUCCAUUUCGAACUCGGAAGUGAAACUGCUCCGCGCCGAUGAUAGUGUGGGGAUUCCCUACGCGAAAGUAGGUCACCGCCAGGC